UACGGGGGGGGCAAGCGUUGUUCGGAAUUACUGGGCGUAAAGGGCUCGUAGGCGGCCAACUAAGUCCGACGUGAAAUCCCCAGGCUUAACCUGGGAACUGCGUCGGAUACUGGAUGGCUUGAAUUCGGGAGAGGGAUGCAGAAUUCCAGGUGUAGCGGUGAAAUGCGUAGAUAUCUGGAGGAAUACCGGUGGCGAAGGCGGCAUGCUGGACCGACAUUGACGCUGAGGAGCGACAGCGUGGGGAGCAAACAGG
rnacentral:rRNA from 1 species